CGCACAUUGCGCCCUUUGGCAUUCCGAAGGGCAUGCCCGUUCGAGCGUCAUUUCACCAAUCAAGCCUGGCUUGGUAUUGGGCGAGGGGUUCGCGCCCCCGCCCCCAAAUCGUCGGCUGGACGGUUCGAUUCUCAGCGUUGUGGUUUCAUCAAUUCGCUGCGGGAGACGACCGGACGCGCCGUUAAACCUCACAUCUCAGGUUGACCUCGGAUCGGGUAGGGAUACCCGCUGAACUUAA
rnacentral:misc_RNA from 1 species